UGGGCGCGCCGCGACUGGCGUUUGGAUGGGUGACCAUCAGGGAGCGGCACCUCCUCCGGGGCAGCGUCCCGGACACUUUUCCCGCCGCACGCCUGGGCUGGAACG
rnacentral:ncRNA from 1 species